AUCUGCCUCAGACAUGUUGAUGUUUAGCUAAUGACAAUUUUAAAUACAUUUAUUUUUAUUUUUUUUUAGGCAACUUACUCUCCAUUCGACCUUGCAGGUCACACCAUGGUCUCAAGAGUGAAAAUGAGUGCUCUAUGGAUUGAACAGAAAAGGUGAAUCAAAAUUCCAACCAUCUGUAUGAGGGUCUGGAUGGAUAAUGGAUGCCCACUGGAGCUGGAAAUGAUGGAUCAGGUCAUUUUCAUUUGUCACAUUUACAAAGAAGCACACUCUAAGGAUUGCGUUACCCUGUCUGUGGCAAAUACACUAGACAAAAGUAUUGGGAGGCCUCAUUCUAAUAAACAUGUUUAUUUAUUCCAGUAUGUCCAAUCAAAACAAAUAUAAAUGCUAUACCAUAUAAUACCACUACAAAGAAUUUUGAUUUUGAUUUUUGUUGCAACAGUUUUGUAAGUGCCUUUUUCUGUUCCGAAAUGACUACAGCUUCUUGUACAAGUCAUUGAUAGGUUUAGGUGAUGAGUUUUUGGCUAAAAACCUUUGAGUCAUAUCAAAGGUGUUAGCUGAGUUAAGGUCUAUUCAGACCAGUCAAAGUUCUUCCACACCAGACUGAAUCACUAAUUUUCUGUUUGAACCUUACUUUGUUUGUAGGGUCAUUCUUAAGUUGGUAUUAAAAAGGGCCCUGCCAAAACUCUUGCUAUAAAUUUAGCAUCAAACGGUUUUUCUAGAAUAUCAUAUGCUGUAGCAUUAAGAUUUGUGCUCAUGGAAAUAAGUAAAGUAUUUAAACCUGUUUAUUAGAAGGAGGUGUCGCAAUAGUUAUGUCUAUAUAGUUUAUGUUUAACAAGCCAAAAUAACUAGGGCUGCUUCUUUUUAAGAUUUUUAAAUCAGCCAGAGGAAUAACAGUCCUUAAAUGUGUAAUGUACUGCCAUAAUUUUGUAAUGAUCAAACGUGAGGUCAGAUUCUUGUUAACCUACUGUGUUCUUUCUUGAUGGUUAGCCGAGUGUCCCAGGACAGAAAAUCUGUUUCGUAUGGAUCAGAGUCAGACAUUAACAUCUAAUAUGUAAUAUCUAGUGAUAUGUUUUCUUAGAUAAUGCUGUGAACAAAUGCUCUUUUACCUUGAAUAUUAGGUGGAUCCACACUUGAACCAUCUGUAUGAUGAUCUGCACCCACUGGAUCUGUAAAUGGUGGUGCAGAGACCAAGUGUAGUAGGGUACACUACUAUGCAGGUGACAUUCUUUUGUUUAUUGAAGCUAUGACAAAUAAUUUGUCUGUUUAGUUAAUGUUUUAUACAGUGUAACUGUACCUAAACAUUGUUCCUUGAGGUCCUCUGCUAUUUACAUUUUGUAUGUCUUCCUUAUUUAACACACCUUAUUCAAAUCAUCAGCUCAUUAGUAGAGAUCUUCAUGAACUGAACUGAGGCUGUGUCCAAAUGUUCACACUUGUUGUCUUUGCACUAGACUACUUACAUUACGGUUUUUUUUUUUUUGUAUUUGGCCUAAGCAUUCUAGUGGGCGUGAAGAUCCCAAGCGUGCAUGUAGAAUUAUUCAUCCGAUGGGACACACUUAGCAUGGGUAAAAAUUUCAAUCCAGGUAGUGCCAGCAAUUUGCACCAAAACGUAUUUGUGUUUUAUUUCCUACUUUUAAUUUAUAUUUAACAUUUUUAAGUUUUUCUGUAAAUAAAAUGAACACUCUGAAAUGAACAUUUGCUUAUAUCAAACUUUUAGAUGCAGAAUUCUUUGCUCCUGUAAAAAAGCUCUUUGUUUUGAGUAUGUAGCUUUAUUAAAGUGUAUUAUUUAUUCAGUAGUCCCUAAAUAAACGACACAAUGUUGCAGAUGUUUCACAAAAUGCAUAACAAUAAUGCAGUGAACACCAUAGAAAUGUUAACAUACAAUUAAAAGUCUCAUGCUUUACAUCCAGAACAUGAUGCACGAUAGGAUGCACAAAGUGAUAUUUGGACGCAGCCUCAGUCUGUCAAAUCAAAGAGACAUACAGAAUGCACAGAGCAGUGGGACUCCAUGAACAGAGUUGAGAACCACUGCUGUAACUCAUUAUGCUUACCUGACUC